rnacentral:rRNA from 1 species
UCAGGAUGAACGCUGGCGGCGUGCUUAACACAUGCAAGUCGAACGAAGCGAUUGGAAGGAAGUUUUCGGAUGGAAUUCUGAUUGACUGAGUGGCGGACGGGUGAGUAACGCGUGGGUAACCUGCCUCAUACAGGGGGAUAACAGUUAGAAAUGACUGCUAAUACCGCAUAAGCGCACAGGAUUGCAUGAUCCGGUGUGAAAAACUCCGGUGGUAUGAGAUGGACCCGCGUCUGAUUAGCUGGUUGGUGGGGUAACGGCCCACCAAGGCGACGAUCAGUAGCCGACCUGAGAGGGUGACCGGCCACAUUGGGACUGAGACACGGCCCAAACUCCUACGGGAGGCAGCAGUGGGGAAUAUUGCACAAUGGGGGAAACCCUGAUGCAGCAACGCCGCGUGAGUGAAGAAGUAUUUCGGUAUGUAAAGCUCUAUCAGCAGGGAAGAAAAUGACGGUACCUGAGUAAGAAGCCCCGGCUAACUACGUGCCAGCAGCCGCGGUAAUACGUAGGGGGCAAGCGUUA